GUUGUUCCAGCUAGUAUAGUUGGAGCUACACUGGUUGCCCAAGCUCUGGAAGGACUUCAUAUUCAGAGGUGGUGGCUGACAAUAGGAACAAAUUUUUUUUACUCGUUUACCUCUUCAGCAACCAUUAUUCUUACACUACACAUCUUACUCUAUAUGAUCUUGAAAGCAAAGUUGAAAGAACAAGAAAAAUUAGGUUUACUGAUGCUGAAAAAAAUCAUAUUAGGAUAGGGCUGGUACACCGCUCAAGUUUUGUUUUCCUCUCCUUAAUUCUGGCAUCUUCCUCAAGCAUUUUCUACAUAAACGAUGACCACGUUACAUCCAGAUACUUCUUUGCACUGUCUUCAACAUUUUUAGGAAUACUAUCUCUACUUCUCUUUGUUGCUUGUGAUGAAAAUGUAAGUAGUAAAC